UACGUAGGGGGCAAGCGUUGUCCGGAAUCAUUGGGCGUAAAGAGCGUGUAGGCGGCUUGGUAGGUCUGCUGUGAAAACUCGGGGCUCAACCUCGAGACGUCGGUUGAAACCGUAAGGCUAGAGUCCGGAAGAGGAGAGUGGAAUUCCCGGUGUAGCGGUGAAAUGCGCAGAUAUCGGGAAGAACACCCGUGGCGAAGGCGGCUCUCUGGGACGGUACUGACGCUGAGACGCGAAAGCGUGGGGAGCGAACAGG
rnacentral:rRNA from 1 species